rnacentral:pre_miRNA from 1 species
ACAGAGUUUGUCGUUGCGUUUAAUUAGGAACAGAACCAAAUUAAGGCACGCCUAACUCUGUCU